rfam:Triticum aestivum genome assembly, contig: Triticum_aestivum_CS42_TGACv1_scaffold_585475_7BL
AUAUUACUCCCUCCAUCCCAAACUUUUUGUCUUAUAUUUGUCUAGAUACGAUGUAUCUAAUACUAAAAUGUGACUUGAUACAUUCGUAUUUAGACAAAUCUAAGACAAGAAUUUUGGGACGGAGGGAGUAUGUA